rnacentral:rRNA from 1 species
AUACGUAGGUGACAAGCGUUAUCCGGAUUUACUGGGCGUAAAGGGCGUGUAGGCGGUCUUGCAAGUCAGAAGUGAAAUUCCUGAGCUCAACUCGGGCGCUGCUUCUGAAACUGCAGGACUUGAGUGCUGGAGGGGAUAGCGGAAUUCCCAGGGUAGCGGUGAAAUGCGUAGAGAUUGGGAGGAACACCAGUGGCGAAGGCGACUUACUGGGCCGUAACUGACGCUGAGGCGCGAAAGCGUGGGGAGCGAACAGGAUUAGAUACCCUGGUAGUCCACGCGGUAAACGAUGAAUGCUAGGUGUUGCGGGUAUCGACCCCUGCAGUGCCGGAGUAAACACAAUAAGCAUUCCGCCUGGGGAGUACGGCCGCAAGGUUGAAACUCAAAUGAAUUGGCGGGG